AUACUAUGAUGUUUGCAUAGUUCAGCAGAAUGAAUCAUGAAGAGAUCUACCAUUUGUCUGGUGUAGAA
rnacentral:snoRNA from 1 species